CUACCCUUGUUUUACAUUUUGCUGAUCUCUGCUGCUGGAUCUCUUUGGAUUGUAUUUGCAGUUGUGAUGUGCUGCAGGAAAUGUAGAAAAACAGUCAACACCCAGGAGGAAGGCAGAAUGGAUGCAGCAUUGUGUAAACCAACAACAAGAAAAAUGAAAUCAAAGACUGAUACUGUGUAUGAAAAUGUCCCCAAAACACGAUGAUCAGAUGCACUG